ensembl:lncRNA
ACUUGAGUCGCUGUCCAUUCGCAAAGUGCUGAACUAGGCUAUACUAACCUUAUAUGGAAUCGUAUUCUGGACGUUUUAACUAACAAUCGUCAUCUGUUGUGUAUUAGGAAUCAAGACAGGUAAAAAUAAAAAUAAAAAAUUAUAUAAUGACAUUCUUGUAAUAAUAAAAAACUCCAUAGUCACGGGAAGAAGGAGGCGGGAACCGGCGAACAUUCAAAUAAAACUUUAAUAACCAAAUAAAGAUAAAACAGCGCGACAGCCCCUCACGGUCGACUGCCGCGCACAAACAAAAACCAAACACAAAAUAAAACCCAGGCCUGGUCCUCUCUCGUCCAUCACUGUCGUCGCUCCUCUUUUGUAUCCUUCCGAUCUCCUCCGUGGGACUCGAGACCGGUGAGUGGAGCAGGUGUCGCUCAUUUCCCAAUCACUCCACCGGCCUCGCUCCGUUCCCACGGCUCUCGGCCCCGCCCCACUCAUCACAUACCCCCAUCGCCCCUCGCAGGCCGGGGGGUACCCACUAGACUGUGCUCUACUCCCCCCUCCCCCCCUCCCUCCGGGGGGGACCGCUCACGGUGACCUGUGGGAACCUGGGGGUAAGGACAGACGAGGCGAGAGAAAAAGAGAUGGAAGGAUGAGGAGCGACGGGAGACGAGAGAGGAGAAAAAAAAAAAUUCUGGUUCCCAGACACGCUGCCGCUCGGCCCUCCACCAGCUGUGUGACCUCCUCCGCGGUGCCUGGCGGUGGCACUGGACGGCCCUCGGUGGACGGCACGACACUCCUUCGCCGCCCGGUGGACGGCGACGGCUCCUCCGGUUUUGGGCAGCCGGCAGGAGUCCCCCGUUCCCUGCUCCUCCUCGUUACACGGGAUGGCAGUAGGCUCCGGCCCCCUGGCAAACGGCGCCGACUCCUCCGCUCCCUCACGGACGGCAGCCGCCCCUCCACAUCGCGGGCGGCCGGCAGCGAGUUCGUCCGUCCCCGGCAACUCACUCCAGCCCACCGCCUCGAGCGUCCACGGCGCCAGACUGCUACGCCUUGCUCCAUGGCACCGCGGAUUCACCCCAGCGGCAAGGGAUCUUCGGCAGCGCGUCCCUCCUUCCUCCCGGGUUUCGGCACCAGUGUAAUAAUAAUAAAAACUCCAUAAUUACGGGAAGAAGGAGGCGGGAACUGGUCCUCUCUCGUCCUUCACUGUCGUCGCUCCUCUUUUGUAUCCUCCCAAUCUCCUCCGUGGGACUCGAGACCGGUGAGUGGAGCAGGUGUCGCUCAUUUCCCAAUCACUCCACCGGCCUCGCUCCGUUCCCACGGCUCUCGGCCCCGCCCCACUCAUCACA